rnacentral:rRNA from 1 species
GUACACAAAAAUGCACAUAUUGUGAGCUCGAUGAGUAGGGCGGGACACGUGGUAUCCUGUCUGAAUAUGGGGGGACCAUCCUCCAAGGCUAAAUACUCCUGACUGACCGAUAGUGAACCAGUACCGUGAGGGAAAGGCGAAAAGAACCCCGGCGAGGGGAGUGAAAAAGAACCUGAAACCGUGUACGUACAAGCAGUGGGAGCCUCUUUAUGGGGUGACUGCGUACCUUUUGUAUAAUGGGUCAGCGACUUAUAUUCUGUAGCAAGGUUAACCGAAUAGGGGAGCCGAAGGGAAACCGAGUCUUAACUGGGCGUUAAGUUGCAGGGUAUAGACCCGAAACCCGGUGAUCUAGCCAUGGGCAGGUUGAAGGUUGGGUAACACUAACUGGAGGACCGAACCGACUAAUGUUGAAAAAUUAGCGGAUGACUUGUGGCUGGGGGUGAAAGGCCAAUCAAACCGGGAGAUAGCUGGUUCUCCCCGAAAGCUAUUUAGGUAGCGCCUCGUGAAUUCAUCUCCGGGGGUAGAGCACUGUUUCGGCAAGGGGGUCAUCCCGACUUACCAACCCGAUGCAAACUGCGAAUACCGGAGAAUGUUAUCACGGGAGACACACGGCGGGUGCUAACGUCCGUCGUGAAGAGGGAAACAACCCAGACCGCCAGCUAAGGUCCCAAAGUCAUGGUUAAGUGGGAAACGAUGUGGGAAGGCCCAGACAGCCAGGAUGUUGGCUUAGAAGCAGCCAUCAUUUAAAGAAAGCGUAAUAGCUCACUGGUCGAGUCGGCCUGCGCGGAAGAUGUAACGGGGCUAAACCAUGCACCGAAGCUGCGGCAGCGACACUAUGUGUUGUUGGGUAGGGGAGCGUUCUGUAAGCCUGUGAAGGUGGCCUGUGAGGGUUGCUGGAGGUAUCAGAAGUGCGAAUGCUGACAUAAGUAACGAUAAAGCGGGUGAAAAGCCCGCUCGCCGGAAGACCAAGGGUUCCUGUCCAACGUUAAUCGGGGCAGGGUGAGUCGACCCCUAAGGCGAGGCCGAAAGGCGUAGUCGAUGGGAAACAGGUUAAUAUUCCUGUACUUGGUGUUACUGCGAAGGGGGGACGGAGAAGGCUAUGUUGGCCGGGCGACGGUUGUCCCGGUUUAAGCGUGUAGGCUGGUUUUCCAGGCAAAUCCGGAAAACCAAGGCUGAGGCGUGAUGACGAGGCACUACGGUGCUGAAGCGACAAAUGCCCUGCUUCCAGGAAAAGCCUCUAAGCAUCAGGUAACAUCAAAUCGUACCCCAAACCGACACAGGUGGUCAGGUAGAGAAUACCAAGGCGCUUGAGAGAACUCGGGUGAAGGAACUAGGCAAAAUGGUGCCGUAACUUCGGGAGAAGGCACGCUGAUAUGUAGGUGAAGCGACUUGCUCGUGGAGCUGAAAUCAGUCGAAGAUACCAGCUGGCUGCAACUGUUUAUUAAAAACACAGCACUGUGCAAACACGAAAGUGGACGUAUACGGUGUGACGCCUGCCCGGUGCCGGAAGGUUAAUUGAUGGGGUUAGCGGUAACGCGAAGCUCUUGAUCGAAGCCCCGGUAAACGGCGGCCGUAACUAUAACGGUCCUAAGGUAGCGAAAUUCCUUGUCGGGUAAGUUCCGACCUGCACGAAUGGCGUAAUGAUGGCCAGGCUGUCUCCACCCGAGACUCAGUGAAAUUGAACUCGCUGUGAAGAUGCAGUGUACCCGCGGCAAGACGGAAAGACCCCGUGAACCUUUACUAUAGCUUGACACUGAACAUUGAGCCUUGAUGUGUAGGAUAGGUGGGAGGCUUUGAAGUGUGGACGCCAGUCUGCAUGGAGCCGACCUUGAAAUACCACCCUUUAAUGUUUGAUGUUCUAACGUUGGCCCGUAAUCCGGGUUGCGGACAGUGUCUGGUGGGUAGUUUGACUGGGGCGGUCUCCUCCUAAAGAGUAACGGAGGAGCACGAAGGUUGGCUAAUCCUGGUCGGACAUCAGGAGGUUAGUGCAAUGGCAUAAGCCAGCUUGACUGCGAGCGUGACGGCGCGAGCAGGUGCGAAAGCAGGUCAUAGUGAUCCGGUGGUUCUGAAUGGAAGGGCCAUCGCUCAACGGAUAAAAGGUACUCCGGGGAUAACAGGCUGAUACCGCCCAAGAGUUCAUAUCGACGGCGGUGUUUGGCACCUCGAUGUCGGCUCAUCACAUCCUGGGGCUGAAGUAGGUCCCAAGGGUAUGGCUGUUCGCCAUUUAAAGUGGUACGCGAGCUGGGUUUAGAACGUCGUGAGACAGUUCGGUCCCUAUCUGCCGUGGGCGCUGGAGAACUGAGGGGGGCUGCUCCUAGUACGAGAGGACCGGAGUGGACGCAUCACUGGUGUUCGGGUUGUCAUGCCAAUGGCACUGCCCGGUAGCUAAAUGCGGAAGAGAUAAGUGCUGAAAGCAUCUAAGCACGAAACUUGCCCCGAGAUGAGUUCUCCCUGAGACUUAGAGUCUCCUGAAGGAACGUUGAAGACGACGACGUUGAUAGGCCGGGUGUGUAAGCGCAGCGAUGCGUUGAGCUAACCGGUACUAAUGAACCGUGAGGCUUAACCUUACAACGCCGAAGCUGUU